rnacentral:rRNA from 1 species
GACGUGCUAAUCUGCGAUAAGCGUCGGUAAGGUGAUAUGAACCGUUAUAACCGGCGAUUUCCGAAUGGGGAAACCCAGUGUGAUUCGUCACACUAUCAUUAACUGAAUCCAUAGGUUAAUGAGGCGAACCGGGGGAACUGAAACAUCUAAGUACCCCGAGGAAAAGAAAUCAACCGAGAUUCCCCCAGUAGCGGCGAGCGAACGGGGAGCAGCCCAGAGCCUGAAUCAGUGUGUGUGUUAGUGGAAGCGUCUGGAAAGGCGUGCGAUACAGGGUGACAGCCCCGUACACAAAAAUGCACAUAUUGUGAGCUCGAUGAGUAGGGCGGGACACGUGGUAUCCUGUCUGAAUAUGGGGGGACCAUCCUCCAAGGCUAAAUACUCCUGACUGACCGAUAGUGAACCAGUACCGUGAGGGAAAGGCGAAAAGAACCCCGGCGAGGGGAGUGAAAAAGAACCUGAAACCGUGUACGUACAAGCAGUGGGAGCACGCUUAGGCGUGUGACUGCGUACCUUUUGUAUAAUGGGUCAGCGACUUAUAUUCUGUAGCAAGGUUAACCGAAUAGGGGAGCCGAAGGGAAACCGAGUCUUAACUGGGCGUUAAGUUGCAGGGUAUAGACCCGAAACCCGGUGAUCUAGCCAUGGGCAGGUUGAAGGUUGGGUAACACUAACUGGAGGACCGAACCGACUAAUGUUGAAAAAUUAGCGGAUGACUUGUGGCUGGGGGUGAAAGGCCAAUCAAACCGGGAGAUAGCUGGUUCUCCCCGAAAGCUAUUUAGGUAGCGCCUCGUGAAUUCAUCUCCGGGGGUAGAGCACUGUUUCGGCAAGGGGGUCAUCCCGACUUACCAACCCGAUGCAAACUGCGAAUACCGGAGAAUGUUAUCACGGGAGACACACGGCGGGUGCUAACGUCCGUCGUGAAGAGGGAAACAACCCAGACCGCCAGCUAAGGUCCCAAAGUCAUGGUUAAGUGGGAAACGAUGUGGGAAGGCCCAGACAGCCAGGAUGUUGGCUUAGAAGCAGCCAUCAUUUAAAGAAAGCGUAAUAGCUCACUGGUCGAGUCGGCCUGCGCGGAAGAUGUAACGGGGCUAAACCAUGCACCGAAGCUGCGGCAGCGACGCUGAUGCGUUGUUGGGUAGGGGAGCGUUCUGUAAGCCUGCGAAGGUGUGCUGUGAGGCAUGCUGGAGGUAUCAGAAGUGCGAAUGCUGACAUAAGUAACGAUAAAGCGGGUGAAAAGCCCGCUCGCCGGAAGACCAAGGGUUCCUGUCCAACGUUAAUCGGGGCAGGGUGAGUCGACCCCUAAGGCGAGGCCGAAAGGCGUAGUCGAUGGGAAACAGGUUAAUAUUCCUGUACUUGGUGUUACUGCGAAGGGGGGACGGAGAAGGCUAUGUUGGCCGGGCGACGGUUGUCCCGGUUUAAGCGUGUAGGCUGGUUUUCCAGGCAAAUCCGGAAAAUCAAGGCUGAGGCGUGAUGACGAGGCACUACGGUGCUGAAGCAACAAAUGCCCUGCUUCCAGGAAAAGCCUCUAAGCAUCAGGUAACAUCAAAUCGUACCCCAAACCGACACAGGUGGUCAGGUAGAGAAUACCAAGGCGCUUGAGAGAACUCGGGUGAAGGAACUAGGCAAAAUGGUGCCGUAACUUCGGGAGAAGGCACGCUGAUAUGUAGGUGAAGUCCCUCGCGGAUGGAGCUGAAAUCAGUCGAAGAUACCAGCUGGCUGCAACUGUUUAUUAAAAACACAGCACUGUGCAAACACGAAAGUGGACGUAUACGGUGUGACGCCUGCCCGGUGCCGGAAGGUUAAUUGAUGGGGUCAGCGCAAGCGAAGCUCUUGAUCGAAGCCCCGGUAAACGGCGGCCGUAACUAUAACGGUCCUAAGGUAGCGAAAUUCCUUGUCGGGUAAGUUCCGACCUGCACGAAUGGCGUAAUGAUGGCCAGGCUGUCUCCACCCGAGACUCAGUGAAAUUGAACUCGCUGUGAAGAUGCAGUGUACCCGCGGCAAGACGGAAAGACCCCGUGAACCUUUACUAUAGCUUGACACUGAACAUUGAGCCUUGAUGUGUAGGAUAGGUGGGAGGCUUUGAAGUGUGGACGCCAGUCUGCAUGGAGCCGACCUUGAAAUACCACCCUUUAAUGUUUGAUGUUCUAACGUUGACCCGUAAUCCGGGUUGCGGACAGUGUCUGGUGGGUAGUUUGACUGGGGCGGUCUCCUCCUAAAGAGUAACGGAGGAGCACGAAGGUUGGCUAAUCCUGGUCGGACAUCAGGAGGUUAGUGCAAUGGCAUAAGCCAGCUUGACUGCGAGCGUGACGGCGCGAGCAGGUGCGAAAGCAGGUCAUAGUGAUCCGGUGGUUCUGAAUGGAAGGGCCAUCGCUCAACGGAUAAAAGGUACUCCGGGGAUAACAGGCUGAUACCGCCCAAGAGUUCAUAUCGACGGCGGUGUUUGGCACCUCGAUGUCGGCUCAUCACAUCCUGGGGCUGAAGUAGGUCCCAAGGGUAUGGCUGUUCGCCAUUUAAAGUGGUACGCGAGCUGGGUUUAGAACGUCGUGAGACAGUUCGGUCCCUAUCUGCCGUGGGCGCUGGAGAACUGAGGGGGGCUGCUCCUAGUACGAGAGGACCGGAGUGGACGCAUCACUGGUGUUCGGGUUGUCAUGCCAAUGGCACUGCCCGGUAGCUAAAUGCGGAAGAGAUAAGUGCUGAAAGCAUCUAAGCACGAAACUUGCCCCGAGAUGAGUUCUCCCUGACUCCUUGAGAGUCCUGAAGGAACGUUGAAGACGACGACGUUGAUAGGCCGGGUGUGUAAGCGCAGCGAUGCGUUGAGCUAACCGGUACUAAUGAACCGUGAGG